UUAGCUAUUUUAGAUGAGUUUGUAUUCCUAUUCGUGGAUACAGACACCUACGUUUGUAUCUAUGAUGGCUAAGGCAUUUUACGCUGACUUGUUGCCGCAUAGAUGAAAAUCUAUAGUGGCUUUUAUUUUAGUACCGUUAACGCUCACUGUAGAUUUUUAUAUCUGCAGUGAGCGUUUUUUCUUUGGCAAAGUAA
rnacentral:ncRNA from 1 species